GCGAAAUUAUAAGAAUUGAAUGUCACUUUGUGUGUUUGCACUGAAAAAUGAACGAUGUCAUUAAAACCCGGAUCUGUUUAUCCAUUAAACUCGCUCUUUCACACGAGUUUGAACAACGCUUUGACAUCGUUCAUUUUUCAGUGCAAACACACAAAGUGACAUUCAAUUCUUAAAUGUUGAUACCGUUCACACACGCUCAACUUUUAAGGGAUAAUUCAAUGUAUGAUUUUUUUAGAUAUACACAAAAAUGAUUGUGAGUAUCAUUUUUGUGCGUUAUGGAAAGAUAACAAAUGUCCCUAUGAACAUUGGAUUAAAAUGAACAUAUCUGUAUAUUGUCUGUGAUAACACAAUGUUGAUACCGUACAAACACGCUUAACUACACGACUUUUUAAGAGAUAAUUGAAGUUAUUAUUCUAUCUAAAUAACACAUGAAUGAUUGUGAGUAUCAUUUUUGUGUGCUGUGGAGAGAUAAAAAAUGUCCCCAUGUACAGUGGAUUAUAAAUGAAUACAUCUGUAUAUUGUCUGUGAUAGCACAAUGUUGAUACCGUACAAACUACUCAACUUUUUAAUCUUGAGAUACUAGUAAUUGAAUGUAUGAUUCUUUCUUAAUAAACACAUAAAUGAUUGUGAGUAUCAUUUUUGUGUGUUAUGGAGAGAUGAAAAUGUCCCCAUGUACAGUGGAUCAUAGAUGAAUAUAUCAUAUCUGUGAUAACACAAUGUUGAUACCGUACAAACACGCUCAACUUUUUAAUCUUGAAAUAAUUGAAUGUAUGAUUCUAGUAUCUAAAUAACACAUGAAUGAUUGUGAGUAUCAUUUUGUGUGCUGUGGAGAGAUACAAAAUGUCCCCUUGUACAGUGGAUUAUAAAUGAAUACACCUGUAUAUUGUCUGUGAUAACACAAUGUUGAUACCGUACACACACGCUUAACUGUUUGACUUGUGUAUACUAUUUAUAGAACAUUCAUUUAUCCGGAGGUCUUCAUUGCUAACGGUCUGGUACAACGGGGUUUUGCAGAAGAUGUUAUGUCUCCUGGGGUUCCUUACAUAUGCCCCUCACUCAUUCUAACGCGCCCUUCUCUUCUCCACAAAUGAGUCUGUUCAACACGUCCUUUAUCCUCAGGCAGUGUAGGAAGCUUUAUGUUAGUUCUGGGCUGAAGACUAGGUCGGGGACAAGUAACCAUUUCUCAGCAAGGCCGAGCGCCAGGUAUUACCAUUCUUCUUCCUUUACAUUUCAUUUAUUGAGACACUAUCAUAUAUAUUUUACAAGUCAAAAAACGUUUUCAUAACACAUGUGUCUAUCUUUGUAACAUCUGAUUCUAUCUGUUUUUAUGUUCUCUGCUGUUUUUUCCCUUGCUGUUCUCUGCUUUUGCUGGCAAAUUUGACACCAAACCAUUUGCUUCAUACACUUUUGUAUUUCCUGAAUACCGAAGAAAACAGAGCUAAAUUUUUCCCGAUGAAAAUUUCCUAUAGCUGUCCUAAACAGGCAAAGUUAAAGAUGUUUGCUUUUCUGGUUUAGAUAUGAACAAAAGACUUUAAAAUUCGUCAUUCUCUUUAUUUUAAACCGACCGACCGACCAAAACUUAAUAACACGCGACACACGAAACACAAAAAUAUUCUGCCUUAAUUAUGACACAUUAUAGUUAUGCAUAUAUAAAUCUAAUAAAUAUAGGAAACCGCAUUGUUAGGAGAGCCAGUAUUGUUUCUAUGUUUCUAGACAAAAACAGAGGUCAACUCUAACUGUAAAUGUUACACUUUCUCAGGGGAAUAUUGUGUUUCCUAUAAUACUGCUUCACUGAAUUAUGUAUGCAUUGUGUGUUAAGAAGGAUACGGCAAUCGAUGUUUCGACAGACAUGUGCCUGAACGUAUUCAGCACACUUCAACUGAUGCAGCAUGCUGUUGGUGGAUUCUGGUAUCCGCUGCUUCCUGUCUGUCACUGAUGCUGCAGCCAUACAGGGGUAUCGGAUGUGUUGGCUGACACAACGACCAAUGGUUCAAUCCUCAGGAAUCGGAUGUCUGAUAUGAUGUCCUUCAUCGUUUCCUUUAAUGAAAAGUACUAUCCUGUGUGGAGUUUUGACAGCAUUGUCUCUGUAACGCGUGGAUGCGACCUUUCAUCACUUCACAUAUUUAGCACAUCACUGAAUAUACAAUAGCUUAGAAUGUACCCAUCUGUUCAUACCUUGUACAGUACCUGAUACCAUUUUGGUCAAAUACCUUUCAAUUUUUUUAUUUAUAGGACGGAUUUUUAUCAUAAGGACGCCACGUCUCUUAAUAUAUUUAUGGCUACAUUUGUUAUUAUUUAACUUGUAUAGGUAGUGUAGUGUAAAUAGAUAAGCUUUCUUUGUGUUGUCCUUCUCACAGGGUCCAUGCUUACUGAGCAACAGAUAAUGAAGAAGCAGGUGCUACAAAGACCGCAGUGACACCCGUGUUGUUGUGCGCAGCCCAGUCUCACACGAGACAACAUGGUUCGCUACUGGAGACAAACGCAAGGGGCGCAUCUGUAACUACAUUGAAAUACACACACCUGGAAACAACUGGCAGGUUCUGGCAUGGCAGUCCGUUUCGAGAACACCUGGUGUCAUCAGUGAUCUACACCGAUACCUAAGUUUGCCCCUGUUCGUGAGAUGUACCAAGUGCCAAAUAUCGCAAAGGUACACGUUACAAUGUGCGAGAUGCUGCCCUCUCCCUGUCCGUGAAGUAUGUAAAACUGUGUGAAGAAAUACAACUGAUAGUUCCUUAAAUCUUUUAGGGGCGCAUAUCUAGCUGCCUUGGAAUACACACAUCCAUGAUACUACCUGAAGUGUCUGGCAGGAUGGCCUGUUUCCAGAAAAACCCAGAGUGGUCAACGAUUAACUGGACGCCAUCAUGGAAAACAUGUGGGACCUGACAUAAUCAGAGUAGCCUCCCUUUGUCAAACCGGUAUACACAAUCUGGAUUCUGUGUGAUACCGUCGUUGAUGUCACACAUUCCAACGUACGCUUUGUUUCUUCUGCAUCUAUUACGGGUUUUCCAAGAAACCCUAGGUUGGAAUCAGAUUGGCCAAACAUCAGCAUCGUAAUAUGUUUAUGUAUACAGUAACUGAAAGGAACCACUAGAUUCAGAGUACAAAUAGAUGUGUCAAGUAAGGCGUCAAUGCAGGACGAAUGCAUAGGACAUUUUGAAGAACGCGUGUCCCAUCAACUGUGACGCUGGAGAAGCGGGCUUCAGUCCUGUCCCACUCUGAAGGACGCCAACACAUGUGGUGCCACCUUUGACAAGUGACUAUGAGAAUUCAUACAUUGUGCCGUGGGGAUAUCAUCACGUUUCACUCAGCGUCUUAAAUCUUUUAUGGACUCUUUGUCUGCAAAAUUAAUCAACAAAUUCGCUAUGUUGUGCCAUUAUGUAAUGCAUUAUUUAGAAACUGUGUAUCAUAUUUCUUAUCUGUACCACAUUUUAAUUUUGUGUACUAAGUGACGGCCUUACUCGAUCGUGCAAAUGCAAAAAUUGAUUAGGCGGUGAUAUAUUUUGUUACUUGUCUAAUUGCAUUCAUUACUCCGCAUAGCUGUAUCAUACCAUAUAGAGGUUGAUCUACUGUGUUCAACUAUAACCUUUUCAUCAGGUUUAGAUUGUAUCAUGUAGGCCAUAAAACGUAUAUACAUUUAGUUCAAAAGAUACAUGGAUCUGCAGAAUAUGUAUUUUUCAAUUCUAGGUUUAUACAAUAAACACAAUCAUAUCCAUUUAGUUCAAAAGAUACACGGAUGUUCAGAAUAUGGGUUUUUUUUUAAUUCAAGGUGUAUAUAAUAAAUACAAUCAUGUCUUA